rnacentral:rRNA from 1 species
GACGAACGCUGGCGGCGUGCUUAACACAUGCAAGUCGAACGGCAAGGCCCUGCUUUUGUGGGGUGCUCGAGUGGCGAACGGGUGAGUAACACGUGAGUAACCUGCCCUUGACUUUGGGAUAACUUCAGGAAACUGGGGCUAAUACCGGAUAGGAGCUCCUGCUGCAUGGUGGGGGUUGGAAAGUUUCGGCGGUUGGGGAUGGACUCGCGGCUUAUCAGCUUGUUGGUGGGGUAGUGGCUUACCAAGGCUUUGACGGGUAGCCGGCCUGAGAGGGUGACCGGCCACAUUGGGACUGAGAUACGGCCCAGACGCCUACGGGAGGCAGCAGUGGGGAAUAUUGCACAAUGGGCGGAAGCGUGAUGCAGAAACGCCGCGGGCGGGAUGACGGCCUUCGGGUUGUAAACCGCUUUAGCCUGUGACGAAGCGGGAGUGACGGUAAUGGGUAAAGAAGCACCGGCUAACUACGUG